CAUAUCAAUAAGCGGAGGAAAAGAAACCAACAGGGAUUGCCCCAGUAAUGGCGAAUGAAGCGGCAAGAGCCCAAAUUUGAAAUCGGGCAACCGAGUUGUAAUUUGGAGACGGGACACUAGAGAGGAGGAAGGCGAUUAAGUGCCUUGGAACAGGCUGCCGUAGAGGGUGAGAGCCCCGUGAAUCGCUGGAGACCGAUCAAUUAGUGCCCGCCGAAGAGUCGAGUUGUUUGGGAAUGCAGCUCUAAGCGGGUGGUAUAUUCCAUCUAAGGCUAAAUAUUAGCGAGAGACCGAUAGCAAACAAGUACAGUGAUGGAAAGAUGAAAAGAACUUUGGAAAGAGAGUGAAAUAGUACGUGAAAUUGUUGAAAGGGAAGGGUAUUUGAUCCGACAUGGUGUUUAGCAGCGGCCCGUUCCUCGUGGAUGGGUGCACCUGGUUUACACUGGGCCAGCAUCGGUUCUGGGAGCCAUAUACGGGGUUCGUGAAUGUGGCCCUUCGAUUCUGUCGGAGGGUGUUAUAGCGCGGGCAUCUUGUGGCUAGCCGGGACCGGGGACUGCGGUGGCUUUUGUCACCAAGGAUGCUGGCAGAACGAGCAAAUACCACCCGUCUU
rnacentral:rRNA from 1 species